rnacentral:rRNA from 1 species
GCCUACCAUGGUUUUAACGGGUAACGGGGAAUUAGGGCUCGACUCCGGAGAGGGAGCUGAGAAACGGCUACCACAUCCAAGGAUGGCAGCAGGCGCGCAAAUUACCCAAUCCCGACACGGGGAGGUAGUGACAAUAAAUAACAAUACAGGGCUCUUUCGGAUCUCGUAAUUGGAAUGAGUACAAUUUAAAUCUCUUAACGAGGAACAAUUGGAGGGCAAGUCUGGUGCCAGCAGCCGCGGUAAUUCCAGCUCCAAUAGCGUAUAUUAAAGUUGUUGCAGUUAAAAAGCUCGUAGUUGAAUUUCGGGAUCAACAGAUUGGUCGUGCCAUCGGUACGCACUGGCCCAAUUGGUUUCUCCCUUUUGACGAAGCAUGAUGUCAUUAAUUUGAUGUCGCGGGGAAUCAGGACUGUUACUUUGAAAAAAUUAGAGUGUUUAAAGCAGGCUUUAGCUUGAAUACAUUAGCAUGGAAUAAUGAAAUAGGACGUUUGAUCUUAUUUUGUUGGUUUCUAGGAUCAACGUAAUGAUUAAUAGGGAUAGUUGGGGGCAUUAGUAUUCAAUUGUCAGAGGUGAAAUUCUUGGAUUUAUUGAAGACUAACUACUGCGAAAGCAUUUGCCAAGGAUGUUUUCAUUAAUCAAGAACGAAAGUUAGGGGAUCGAAGACGAUCAGAUACCGUCGUA